UAAAUGUGGAAGAAGUUUCGACAAGUGGAAGCUUCAAGGUUCCAGCCUCAGCCUUCCCAAGCAGAUCAAUCAGGCAAGCAUAUAUUGAGAACACCGAGAAGUCAUAAUGUAGUUUGGUUGACCCUUCCAGCCUCAGCCUUCCCAAGCAGAUCAAUCAGGGAACAGAAGCCAACGAUGGAGCUGGAGGAAACGAGUGGGACGAUGGCUUCUUAAUUCGACAGUGUGAAGAAAACAAGUGUAGGAAGAAGUCAUUUGGGCGUAGUAUUCGUCAGAUGUGAGUACUCGAACAACAAAGUUGUUGUAGCCGGAGCUGCUCAUGGAGAUGAUGCUACCUACACUCAAGACUACGAUCUUCUGAUCGAUGACGAAAACUACAUUAGAGCCGUCGAGGGGACCUACACCGAGAGCCACAUUACCUCCCUCAAGUUCUGUUUGCGCAAGUUAGAUACAUCGCGCCAGUAUGGAAGUCGAAAUGGAACACUUUUCGUUCUCGGAGGAGGAGAAAGCUCGAAGAUCAUCGGGUUUUACGGGAAAAACUCUGAUGUCCAUGACCUCACCACUCUCGGUGUCCACCUUUCGGUUUUCACAUCUCCACCUCCGUCAAAAUUUUACCAAUGAAGAUUAUAUAGUGCGACAAAAGAGGUUACGUGUAUAUAAAGGCAGCGGUGUUUUAGAGUAUGCAUAAGAGGAUGAUGUAUAUACAUGAGAUGGUUUCGAGCUCAUCUUAUAAGAAUGUAUCUGUUUAUCACUUUUGUUACUGUAGCUUUGAGCCUUUGUGCUUUUCAAGUCAGUAGAUGCCUUGUCAGUCUGAAUGUACGUAUAUAAUACCAAAUGAAG